rnacentral:lncRNA from 1 species
GCAUUGCAAUCUCGAGCAGCUUUAUUCGGCCAACUAAACUGGACGGAAUUGGAGGCAACCUCUGUAGGUUUUUUGGGGUGGAGACAAAGGAUACUAAGAUGUUUUUUGCUGCUAAUUUUUUGGAGAGUUCAAGGAAUGGUAGCAUGUGUCCGAAUGCUAGCCAUGGGAACAUCAUUACAUGACAUUGUUCUGCUGCCAUGAAUCCUUUCGAAAGGUAUAAUUUGAUAAUUUUGUGCUGCUGAAUCCUGCUUAAAUAGAGAAUAAGCAGUUCUAUAUGUCAUAUUCUUUAGAUGAGAGUUAAUUUAGCCGGGAACAGUACAGUUUACAAGACUCAUCACAGGGAUUCACAAUCUUUGACUUUUG